rnacentral:lncRNA from 1 species
UUCCUUUUAUGGAGGGCUUCGUGGAGUUCCGCCCAAGUCUGGUCUGCCCUAGGAGUUCGUUUCGCAUCCAGACUCAUCAGAGAAGAACACUCCUGAUGGGAGACUUCCUCCAGCCUUUUUUUUUUGUCCCCUAUAGGGAGCUGGUGCAGUGGACCGGGCCAUCACAUAGGCCAGGCCCAACGUGGCUUGCCCUAUGUUCUUGUUGACCUAUGCAUGGUUAUAUUCCUUAGCCCAAUUUAAGCUAAUGUAUGGAUGGGUCUUGGUGUCUAUGGAAGAGGACGACAUUUGAGUCUAAAGAUGCUAGGAUGGAUGAAAGAACUG